rnacentral:rRNA from 1 species
UACGUAGGUGACAAGCGUUGUCCGGAUUUACUGGGCGUAAAGAGCGCGCAGGCGGUCGAUCAAGUCGAGUGUGAAAGCCCCCGGCUCAACUGGGGAGGGUCAUUCGAUACUGAUCGACUCGAAGGCAGGAGAGGGUAGUGGAAUUCCCGGUGUAGCGGUGGAAUGCGUAGAGAUCGGGAAGAACACCAGUGGCGAAGGCGGCGCUCUGGGCUGCACCUGACGCUGAGAUGCGAAAGUGUGGGGAGCAAACGGG